GUCUAUUACGGUGAUAUUUAUAGUCUAGCCUGCUCAGUGACAUAAAAGUGUUAAAUAGCCGCGGUAUCCUGACCGUGCAAAGGUAGCAUAAUCAUUAGUUUUUUAAUUGGAAACUAGAAUGAAUGGUUGGACAAGAAAAAAACUGUCUCUUUUAUUAAAAUUGAAAUUAACUUUUAAGUGAAAAGGCUUAAAAUUUACUAAGGGGACGAUAAGACCCUAUAAAGCUUUAUAAAUUCAGAGAUUUUAGAUAUUUUAUAUAUAAAUUUAUUUUUUGAUAAUUUAUUUGGUUGGGGCGACAAGGGUAUAAUUAUAAAUAACUGCCAUUAAUGUUUAUACAUAUAUUUUUGAUUUAAAUUUGAUAUAGUAGUUGAUCCUUUUUAAGGAUUUAAAGAUCAAGUUACUUUAGGGAUAACAGCGUAAUUUCUUCUGAGAGUUCUUAUCAAAGAAGAAGUUUGCGACCUCGAUGUUGAAUUAAAAUGUCUUUAUAGUGCAGCAGCUAUAAAAGAAGGUCUGUUCGACCUUUAAUUUUUU
rnacentral:rRNA from 1 species